rnacentral:piRNA from 1 species
UCACUGAGCUUGACACGUCCACGUUGAA